rnacentral:rRNA from 1 species
GACGAACGCUGGCGGCGUGCCUAACACAUGCAAGUCGAACGAAGAAUGUUUUUCGGAAUAUUCUUAGUGGCGGACGGGUGAGUAACGCGUGAACAAUCUGCCCCGUACAAAGGGAUAGCCUCGGGAAACCGGGAUUAAAACCAUAUAACGCUUUAGUACCGCAUGGUAAUAAAGUCAAAUCGAUUAAGAGGUAUGGGAUGAGUUCGCGUCUGAUUAGCUAGUUGGUGAGGUAAGGGCUCACCAAGGCGACGAUCAGUAGCCGGCCUGAGAGGGUGAACGGCCGCACUGGAACUGAGACACGGUCCAGACUCCUACGGGAGGCAGCAGUGGGGAAUAUUGCACAAUGGAGGGAACUCUGAUGCAGCGACGCCGCGUGAGUGAAGAAGGUCUUCGGAUCGUAAAACUCUGUCCUUGGUGAAGAAAAGGACGGUAGCCAAGGAGGAAGCCCCGGCUAACUACGUG